rnacentral:rRNA from 1 species
GAUGAACGCUAGCGGCAGGCCUAACACAUGCAAGUCGAGGGAUAAGCCUUCGGGCUAAGGCCGGCGCACGGGUGCGUAACGCGUAUACAAUCUGCCUUUUAUCCGGGGGAUAGCCCGAAGAAAUUUGGAUUAAUACCCUAUGGUAUAAGAGCACGGCAUCGUGCACUUAUUAAAGCUACGGCGGUAAAAGAUGAGUAUGCGUUCUAUUAGCUAGUUGGAGAGGCAACGGCUCCCCAAGGCGACGAUAGAUAGGGGUUCUGAGAGGGAUGUCCCCCACACUGGUACUGAGAUACGGACCAGACUCCUACGGGAGGCAGCAGUGAGGAAUAUUGGACAAUGGUCGGAAGACUGAUCCAGCCAUGCCGCGUGCAGGAUGACGGCCUUAUGGGUUGUAAACUGCUUUUGUAAGGGAAGAAUAAGGAGUACGUGUACUUUGAUGACGGUACCUUACGAAUAAGCAUCGGCUAACUCCGUG